AAUUUUAUUCUUUCCCUUCUUUUCUGAAUAGAGUUCCUGUUCGCAGAAUUCCAGAGAACGUAAGGUUGGAGUCAGAUUUCAGGGUUGAAGAACAGAUCUCUAUAGGUGAAGAGUAGAUUAUAUUUUUUCAGAAUUAUUCUUCUCCCAAGCUUUCAAGGACUUCUUUUGAGGUACUCUUAGUUCGGGUGAGGAGUGAUGGCUAGGCUGAGGAAUGGUCAUCAUUAGGAUUUGACUUAGGAUUUUAUGUUGGAUUUUGUUUAACUAUUAGUUAUGUUAUUUUGGAUCAUUUGGUAUUUGGAAGUUAUUUGGAAAUUAAACUUUGAGGAUUUUAGAUUUUGUUUCCGCUACUCUGAGCAGGUAUUUGGUAAUUGGUAACAUCCAGUUACAAUAUGACUGUUUGGGUCAGAUUAUACUUUAAGCCUUCGGGUUUGAGGUGUGAAAUGACCGUCACGCCCUUGGAGUGGGUCUUGGGGCGUGACACUCUCUAUAUAUAUAUAUACACCAGGCAUAUGGACAAAAGAACAAGUUGAUGCAUGGAAACCUAUUGUAGAUGUUGUUCAUGCUAAAGGCGGUAUCUUUUUUUUUUUUUGUCAGAUUUGGCAUAUGGGGAGGGUUUCAAACACGGGUAUCCUAAAAUUUCCAAACCUAUUUUAGGAUAUGGCAUAAGGAGCAAUCAUACUUGAGCCCCAGCACAUUCCAGAUACUCGCUGGAUCAAACGGGGCAAGAAGUUUGAAAAAGAACAGUUGGUUCAAUGGAAACAUUUACCAGCUGAAGAGGCCACGUGGGAGACGCACCAGUCAUUGCUUGAGCAAUUUCCGGAUGUGGACCUUGCGAACAAGAGUCCACCCGAUGGGGGAAGUAUUGAUAAGCCAGGACGUUCUCAACGUGUGCCUAUUAGAAAUCCAUGGUACAUGUAAGGAGGGCAGACUGUG